rnacentral:rRNA from 1 species
GAUGAACGCUGGCGGCGUGCCUAAUACAUGCAAGUCGAGCGAACAGACGAGGAGCUUGCUCCUCUGACGUUAUCGGCGGACGGGUGAGUAACACGUGGAUAACCUACCUAUAAGACUGGGAUAACUUCGGGAAGCCGGAGCUAAUACCGGAUAAUAUAUUGAACCGCAUGGUUCAAUAGUGAAAGACGGUUUUGCUGUCACUUAUAGAUGGAUCCGCGCCGCAUUAGCUAGUUGGUAAGGUAACGGCUUACCAAGGCGACGACGCGUAGCCGACCUGAGAGGGUGAUCGGCCACACUGGAACUGAGACACGGUCCAGACUCCUACGGGAGGCAGCAGUAGGGAAUCUUCCGCAAUGGGCGAAAGCCUGACGGAGCAACGCCGCGUGAGUGAUGAAGGUCUUCGGAUCGUAAAACUCUGUUAUUAGGGAAGAACUAAUGUGUAAGUAACUAUGCACGUCUUGACGGUACCUAAUCAGAAAGCCACGGCUAACUACGUG